AAGUCGUAACAAGGUUUCCGUAGGUGAACCUGCGGAAGGAUCAUUAACAUAUCCACGUAUCAGCCAAACCGUGAACUUGAAUCUUCGCUCACAGUUGAGAACCGUGAAUCUGUAUACCAGUUCGCUGACGUUGAGAGGGAGUGGAAGAAGGGAUUCCGCUCUGCUUUCUUCAGUGUUUAACUGUCAUCGUUGUCCAAUUACCAAACCACCCCUGAUGCCUCUUUUUCCACUUCAAAAGGAAAGCAUUGGUUUUCUCUAUAUUUCUGAUUGAAGAAGGGCCAUUUCGGCCUUUGUCUUCUAACACACUCUGUACAACUCUUAGCAACGGAUAUCUUGGUUUCC
rnacentral:misc_RNA from 1 species